AAUCCCUGUGGCAAACGGGAGUGGGAGGGCACCAGGAAGCUGAUGAAGGCCACGAGGAUCAGAGCAGGGCCUUUGAAGAAGGCGACACUCGUGCUUUCAUUCUAUUGUCUUUUCAGCUGUCCAAGACAGAAGCCAAAGAAGGGAGAGAAGUGAAGGCAUGGAAGGACCUUUCCCAAAUAUCACUGGACCCCCACUUGUGUUAUGACCACCUAUACCGGGGUGCUCUCAAAAGCAGCUGGCUGUAUUAUAAUCACCUUGAAGGAGGCUCCCCAGGGGGCAGAGAUAGUGCCUGUUCUACCACUGUGUUUUCCAGCACACAGCACUGGGCCUGGCACGGAGCACACCCCCAAUCAGUAUGAGUGAAAGAAUGGGGCCUGAACCCUCCCCGCCACGCUUCCCUUCCCUCUCCAACAGGCAGCCAGCCCCUCAGCACAGUUAGAAACCACAGCAAUAAAGUGGGCUCAGAGGGUGUCACAGGGACCUGUGAAAACCCUUCACAAAUGACUUUUUUUUGGUCUUACCCUCCCAACUGCCUAGCCCCAGGCAAGUACCAGCAAACCAGUUAGUUAAAUGACUCAUUGACUUGCUAAUGAGAUUGCUCUUGGGCCAGUUAAAGAAGACAAUCAAAAGAACUGUCCCCGGGAGGGAGAAAACAAGCUUGGCAAAAUGCAGAAGCAUGCUGAAGCCAGGUGAUUGGUUCUAGGAGUGCAUUAUAAUAUUCUCUUUUGUGGAUAUUUGCAAACGUUCUUAAUAAACACUGAAAUUUAAAAAAUUAAACACAGGAAAAA